UGUUAGAUGAGCAUGUGUUAGAGUCGACAGUUACAGAUAAUCAUGCUUAUAAACUGAUAAAGUGUUGUGCUGAGGCAUUUGUGAAAAUAAGAAUGCAUCACUUGACCAAAACGCAAAACGAUAAGUUGCAUAGUCAGAAAAUUCGUAAAAAGCUGUCUAAGCUUGUGUUGUUCAAUCAUCAGUAGAUUGAACGUUGCCUGGACACUAUUGUGUUUUCGAGGCUUUGCCUGUGCCUAGAAAUGGAAUUUUUCAUUUGACUAUUCCAUUUUUUUGAGGCUGUAGGCGUCCUGGCACAUAGCAAUAUGUGUUUCGAGGAGAAAUUUAAUGGUGCCUGCACAUUUGUGUUCGAGGCUUAAAAAUGUAACAUGAAAUUAUAACCUAGUUUACGUAACUAAACAAUUAAAAAGAAUGAGAAGUAAUUCGAAAUGCAAGUCUUCUAUAAAAAAUACUCAACAAAACAGCCCAAUUGGACGACAUAAGAAAACUAUUUUGUGGUCCUAACAUUGAUAGCACUUUCAAUCAGAUCGAGCGUUGUAGUGACAUUAUGAAUAUUGCCGGGAUGAUCUGAAUGCGGAAGUCCUUGAACAACGUUCAUGAUGCGUAACAUUUUAUCUUUAACAUUUUUUUGUACCUUAUAGUUCAAUGAGUUCACAUUGUUUAUAUAGUUUCUUGACUUGUAAAAAGCCAAUGGUUAAACUUCGAAUAACUUGAAAAAAAAAUUUAGAAGAAUGUUACUUGAAUGCAGGGGUGUG